AUGCUCGCUUUGGAAGCACAUAUACUAAUAUUGGACCAAUACAGAGAAGAUUAGUGUGGCUCCUGCUCAAGGAUGACAUGCAAAUCUGUGAAGCGUUCCAUUAAAAA
ensembl:snRNA U6 U6 spliceosomal RNA